UACCCAUAACCGCAAGAUAACCGCACCGAAAAACCGAUUAAUAGGGACCGUCGAUUAGUUUUUAUCUUGAUUAAUCCUAGCCGUCUAGAUUAAAGCCUACACCAUAUAUAUUUCGGAACCCUAAUUUUUUCAGAAGUUUUCAUCUCGUUUCUCUUCUUCUCGGCUCUCGCUCUUCAGUCUGAAACCCCAGUCGCCUCCACCACCAGUAGAACCACCACUUUGAUCUUUUAAACCACCUCCAUCAAGAGCACCACCACCUCCUUGGCUCUAUCUAGUUUUGGUUGAGUUGAGGGGAGGAACUCAAGAAGGAGUCUGAAAGCUAUUAUCAUUCAGUUUGAGUUAAGGGAAGGAAGGAGUCUGAUUACAGGGUAAUGAUUGGAUCAAGUUCAGUUUCAUUAUCAAGCUGCAAGAUGGCAAGUGCAUCUCCCUCUCCAUCCCCUGCAGCUGGGUCUACUGAUGUGACACUGUCAAUAACACCUCAAGUUGAUGCAACAAAACAAGAAACACAAGCUAUAGAGCAGGCUACACAGGACCCUGCACCUGAGGUUGUACCGAAGAAGAAGGGGAAAACUAGAUCAAAAGUUUGGAAUGACUUUGUAAGGCUCAGUGAAGAACAAGCUCAGUGUAAGCAUUGUAAGAAGAAAUUGCAAGCACAUAGCAGAGGAAAUGGCACUUCCAGCAUGAAGACACAUUUAGGCACAUGCCCUCAGAAUCCCAACAAGAAGCAGAAGGGUCAG